AAAGGGAGCGUAGGCGGCUGAUUAAGUCAGCGGUGAAAGGUAGCAGCUUAACUGUUUUACAUGCCGUUGAUACUGGUUAGCUUGAGUUGACAGAAGGCAGAUAGAAUUCCUGAUGUAGCGGUGAAAUGCUUAGAUAUCAGGAGGAAUACCGAUUGCGAAGGCAGUCUGCUGCAGUCACACUGACGCUGAGGCUCGAAGGUGCGGGGAUCAAACAGGAUUAGAUACCCAGU
rnacentral:rRNA from 1 species